rnacentral:rRNA from 1 species
GGGUAAAGGCCUACCAAGCCUACGAUCGAUAGCCAAGUUUGACAGAACAUAUGGCCACAUUGGGAAUGAAAUAUCCCAAGUAGAGAACCUACCAGCAGUCGAGAAUAUUAGUCAAUGCUCGUAAGAGUGAACUAGCUAACUGGAAUCACGAGUGUGUCACUUGUGAAAAGAAGGGGAAAAAUGAUGAUGUCACCCUUACUUAUAGUGUUGUCCAAAGCUGAUCAUCUUGAUCAGGCGUAAAGGGUUUGUAGGCUGCUUUAAAUUAAUUAAAGAUAGAAUCAAAUAGAGGUCACUGUGAGAGAAUUUUUAGAUUAGGGUUGAUAUCUGCAUAAACUAGAAAGAAUUCUAAUUAGCGAAGGCACUUUUCCAUCUAAUGAUUGACGCUGAGAAACGAAGGGGAGGAUCGACAAUAGGAUUGGAUACCCUGGCAUCCCUCUCUGUAAACGAUGAAUGGUAGUUGCUAGUAAUAAUAAUUAGUGACGAUGCUAACGCGUUAACCAUUCCGCCUUGUGAGUACGGCUGCAAAGUUGAAAACAAAAAAAUUAGUCGGUUUCGGAGCAA